rnacentral:lncRNA from 1 species
UUAGAGUAUAUUUCAGUAUUAUAAGAACCCAGGAGCAUAGCAUUUUAUUCCACCACAUAUACUUUUGAAAGGAGCACCAGUGUGACCACUGGCAAUGGAGCUUGCUAAGCUUCACUCUCGGAGGCUUGAACUAGUGCCACCGCUUUAAUAACAAGGUCUCCCAACGCACCAGAAGUAGAAAAGGACGGAAGCUGCACAAGACAAUUCGUGCACUCAUCGCUGACAGACAGCUUAUUACUGCCAAUGUAUGGACAAUCAAAGUUUAUAGUGGCAACUUUGGUGCCCUUCGUAUAGAGGUCAAAUCCACCUGUAGUCCCAGAUGGAGAAGCUUGCCUUCCACAUGCAGCAAAUGGCGGGUUGGGAGAGGUUUCUCCCGCAGCAAUGGUUAUCCCACCUGGUGCACUCGCGUCGGCGUUCUUAUCUGGGUAUUUGUACCACUUUCCAAAUGUUAAGAAGGAGUUUUUCACUUCUAAGGUGUCUUGUCCCAGGUUUGUGACCCUGAAGGAUACCCACUGAGAAUAUCCUCCCAACUUGCCAUCUGCAUUGCACAUAUACUGUAAGCCCAGCAAUUAAACUUGAGCUACGUACCGGUGACUUGAAAGAUAGAAACUGAGUCCUCUUCUCCAGCUGAAGCAGCAGAAGCUAAGCUCCCAAUGGAUAUGCAAAGCAAUGCUAGAAGGAAAGAAGAACUUGACAUGAUUUGUUGCAAAUUUGGGUUUGGGGCUUGAAAAUUUAUACUCCCUAUGGUUACAAAGUUUUAAAACUUGAACCAUUUUUUAAACAGGUUAGUGCCUGCUACUCAAAAGGUUUAGACUAAAAGUCCAAGGAGCAAUAUGUGGCAUAAUUGUCAGUCCCACGUGAAAGAUUGCGACGUAUAGCGACGUUUAGCUUUCCAACAAUAGAGUUAUUUAGGAGAAAAUUGAAAAGAUAGAUCGUCACCUACAAAACCACCAUUUCAGCUGAAUUGUUCUGUGAAAUGGUCGUUGUUUAAGAAAUGCAGUACCAAGUUCGUGGCAAGAUCCUCCAAUUUUUCAGCAAAACCAGGGAUCUAUCACAUGGAAAAGAGAUUUACAAAUUUGGCAGUGACAAUUGUGCAGCAAGCAGCUGCACAAUUCAUCCAUGAAUUUGGAUGGAUCUAUGCACAUCCUUGAAUUUGGAAAUCUAGAUGUUUGGAAGAUGUGAGAGCUUGCAAGAAGCAAAAGAGAGGAUCUGCAAAGAAUCAUUUAUUGUGGAACAACAUGGAGGAUAUGCCAAAACGGCUAUCCAGAGUGAAGAAAUUGCUAUGGGACACAAGAACCUUGUAGCCUGGAACCAGGCAUACAUUCAGGUCAAAGAUACUGAAAAGGAGAGAGAAUUUGAUGCAAUGCCAGAUAAGUUUAGUGGACUGCGAUUCUUACAGCAUAUGCCCGGUGUAAAAGCGAAGAUAAUCUUUGAUCCGAUGACAUUUUUCUUCGACAUUCAAUGAUGUCUUUUCGAACCAAUUCCCGAGCACGCCUCGUGACGUGGAAUUGGUUAUCUUCUAAAUGCCAGAGCCAAGAGAGUUGUUUCCUCCAUCGUCGGAGCAUAUCCCGGAGCAUGCAUACGACCGGAGCCAAGCGUCUGUUUGCUGCCAUCCCGAGAAGAAAGAUCUCAUCGCCUGGAACACGCUGAUCACGCCGAAUGCUCGGGAUCAAACGCCACGUUGAUGGUGCCUCUGCCGUGAUCCUGGCAGUGCAACAAGGCCGUGAUCGUUUGUGAGCGUUCUUGGUGCUUGCGGCCAGCUUGGGCUGUUCUAGUGGGGAUGGAGCUACUUUCGAAACAUGGCCAACGAUCACCAAGUCCAAGCGUUGGGUGUGGAUCUCUGCGCUUGAUCUGGUCAACUAGCUGCCGAGGAUCUCAUCUCCAGCACGUCCCGGAUGGAGCCCGUCAGGAGUCAAGAGGAUCCACAACGAGCAGAACUGGCUGCUCACCUCGACACCACCAUCUCGUCACUCCUUUCCCAUAUCUAAGUCGCUCGUAGCUUGUCACGUGGUCCGUGCGUUAUAGUGAAUAAGGGAGAUAGUGAAAAUGGGAUCCAACGACAACAACGCAUACAUCUCUCUCCAAAAGUAGUAGUGUUUUAUAAUUUUACAAAAACUUACGAGCCAUUGAUUCUUUCCUGGAGUGAAAGUCAUGCUCCUUGGAAAAAUUAAGAUAUAAAUAUCUUUGAAAUGUCCAAGGAUCUGUUCAACAGUUUAUAUAAUCCGUCGGUCUCAUGCUUCUUGGUGGCCGCCACAAGACCCUGUAAACAGUUAAUGAAUGGAUGAAUGUUCUUCGCUCUUGUUAUCAUCACCAAGGUGGCACCAGUCGCACUUUGAAAGAGAAAUCUGCCACAGGAGUGAUUGUUUUCUUCAAGCUGGAAUGAAGCCUAAGUUUACACAUAGAUCUGGAUGCUUGUCAUAAUGUAUGUAUGCUAUGUCUUUGGUAGGGAUCUAAUUCAGCGGUGGUCUAAGAUGUUGCUAUCACCACCACAUGAAAAGUUGUUGUGACUGACGGGUAUUCCCAUCAUUGAGGUGGUUUUUUCUUUUGCUUGUUUGUUACGCACAACACUUCGAUCAGCGGGCGUUGCAAACUUCGAAGAGCCGACGACGCUUUGCAGCUCAUACGAGAGAUGGAGCCAGCUCCAUACACGAUCACGUGCAACACCGUCAUCAAUGGGCUCUGGAGGUCCAGGAAGGAUACAGAAGCUUAGACUUUGCUGGACGAGAUGAUCAGCAUGCGACUUACAACUGCGUUAUCGCGAAUCUCUGCCGGUCUCGCGAGAUGGAGAAGGCAAUGGACGUAUUUCUACACGAGGAAGAAGAAAUGCGAAGCGGACGAGGUAACUUUCGCAACGCUUUCACCCAGUCCGGCGAUCUGGAGCGCGCGCUGGACCACCUCCAUCGAAUGCCGUCUGGUCGUGAUCUAGUGUCCUUCCGGGACAAUGCUGCUGCAAACGUUUCCCGGGAACGAGGAGGGCGAUGCCCGAAGCGUCAAGGAUGCGUUUUGGAAGAAGCCACGACAGUGUCUUCCAUCGAAUGCCCAGGAUAUACGUCGUGUGGUGGUGCUCGAGCCGACUUGGCGAGAGCGGUGCUGGAGAGGAUGCCCUCUCCUGGGCGGCUCUGGUUUACGGCUUCGCUCAAAGGGAACUGGUCCCGGGACGUCUUGGAUGCCGCCAUAGGUGAGAUCGAGCAGAUCAAGCAUAUGUUUGAACAGCAAUUCCGGAGGCUUCGAGGGUUUUUUGAUGGAUUGAUCGAGCUAAGGGGAAGUCGUACUUGCUGCUUUCUUCUCGAGUGCUAGCAGCGCUAGCGGAGGACGAGCAGGACAGGAACUACUGCACCUAGGAUCUCGACGAGAUGAAACAGGUGGCGGCAGAGAGACAACGAUUUGCUCUUCGCGGUGGACGAGUACGAUGUUUACCACGAGAGGUACGUUGCGAGAGCGAGAGCAGGGAUCGACGUGCUGGCAUGCUGGAUCCUCCAUCGCGAUGAAUCUCUGGGUGUUUUCGAGAGUGCUCGCGAAGAACGAAGUUGGAGCUUUCCUGCGAUGGAAGGGUCUCGACGCGGAGCCAGCGGAGAUGCGCGAGCUCCGGCUCUCUUCCGCUGCUAGUGAGGAUCUACCUCGACGCGUACGUACCCAUGUUUUUUCAUGAAGAAAUCGAUAUGGGUAGAGCCCCAAAAGCAGAGCCAGAUCUUUCGUUGACGGAAGCAAUCGUUUGCUGACAUAUCCAGGAACCUCAGCUUGGGCAUUGCGGUACCGAAGCACAGGGGAGCGAGCUACAAGCAGUCAUGUCGUGCAUCCAAAAUGCGCGCUCUUAAACUCGCUAAACCAUUGCCGAAUCAACUUAACCAAUAUCUCCAUCGGAGGAAGAUUUCUGCGAAGAUCAAAGAUGGGCGAUAGAUUUUGUUUGGCAUUUCAAUGAACUUAGGGUGUACUUCAGUAAUAAGAACCCAGGAGCGUAGCAUUUUAUUCCACCAUAUAAUAUUUGAAAGGAACACCAGUGUGACCACCGGCAAUGGAGCUUGCUACGCUUCACUUUCGGAGGCUUAAACUAGUGCCACCACUUUGAGUACAAGGUCUCCUAGCGCACCGGAAGUAGAAAAGGACGGAAGCUGCACAACACAAUUCUUGCACUCAUCGCUGACAGACAGCUUAUUACUGCCAGUGUAUGGACAAUCAAAGUGUAUAGUGGCAACUUUGAAGCCCUUCGUAUAGAUGUCAAAUCCACCUGUAGUCCCAGAUGGAGAACCUUGCCUUCCACAUGCAGCAAAUGGCGGGUUGGGAGAGGUUGCUCCUGCAGCAAUGGUUAU